rnacentral:rRNA from 1 species
GCGCAGCAGGCGCGAAACUUUACAAUGUGCGAAGCACGAUAAGGGAACUCUGAGUGCCUCCUAAGGAGGCUGUUCUGAUGUCUAAAAGCAACAGAAGUAAGGGCUGGGUAAGACCGGUGCCAGCCGCCGCGGUAACACCGGCAGCCCAAGUGGUAGCCACGUUUAUUGGGUCUAAAGCGUUCGUAGCCGGCCAGGUAAGUUCCUUGGUAAAUUUAGCCGCUUAACGGUUAAGCUUUCAGGGAAUACUGCUUGGCUUGGGACUGGGAGAGGUCAGAGGUACUCCGGGGGUAGGGUGAAAUCUAUUAAUCCCUGGGGGACCACCGGUAGCGAAGGCGUCUGACCAGACCAGGUCCGACGGUGAGGGACGAAGGCUAGGGGCGCGAACCGGAUUAGAUACCCGUGUAGU